UCUCUGGUGGUCCAGUGGCUAAGACUCUGCCCUCCCAACUCAGGGGCCCAGGUUCCAUCCCUGGUCAGGGAA
rnacentral:tRNA from 1 species